rnacentral:rRNA from 1 species
UACGUAGGUGGCAAGCGUUGUCCGGAUUUACUGGGCGUAAAGGAUGCGUAGGCGGACAUUUAAGUCAGAUGUGAAAUACCCGAGCUUAACUUGGGUGCUGCAUUUGAAACUGGGUGUCUAGAGUGCAGGAGAGGUAAGUGGAAUUCCUAGUGUAGCGGUGAAAUGCGUAGAGAUUAGGAAGAACACCAGUGGCGAAGGCGACUUACUGGACCGGUAUUGACGCUGAGGUGCGAAAGCGUGGGGAGCAAACAGG